CUCCUGCCUCCGGAGCGGCACCUCCGCAAUCGCCGGUUCCGUGGCCGGGGAACAGACGGGGGGCUCUACCCAAGGAGCCGCAGCGCAUCCCCGUUCUCCCAUCGUUUCCCGUCGGAAGCGCAGGCUUGGACACGUGCGGAAGUUGCGCACUGUGCGAGGCUGGAGACCCCAGAGCGAAGAUGCUGCUGCACCCACCACCUCAGCUCACCCCCGAGUCCCCGGCAUGUCUGGCACGCAAAGGCUGGCCUCAGGUUUCCUGAAAGGCUUGUGAUUUUCUGCCCCGAGUUGCCAUCCAAAUGAAGAUGCUGCCUGGAAAAAGGCUGAGCAAGGUUUUGUGUCCACCUCAGCCCUCCCCAGGAGUGAGCUCUGCCCCUGCCUGAGCUCAGCCAGUUAAGCAUCCAGCUUCUCUGCACAACACUGCAGACCCUGGAAGUGGCAGCUCCUGCUGUGUCACCCAGGCUGUUAAAGGAUCACAGCAGGCCUAAGGCACCUGGAGAGUCAAAUGGCCCUUCAUUCCCACACAGUUUAUUCAGCAAGUCCCAACAAGGAGGAUGUUAUCUUCCAAAAGCAUGGAGAAGACCUUGGAGCUGUGCUUAGUCCAGAGAACCACUUCAGAAGAUAAAACCCCAAAAGAAAUAAGAGACAAAACACACUUAAGUCAAAACCAGUAGUUUUACCUGUUUAGACUGUAGCACCCACUGCAGCACAACCCUGGCAUCAGGCUAAACAGAAGUAGCAUCCAGCAAAGCAAGCCAAGGUCUCCAGGUGCUUGAAAUUAUACAAGUGCUUAAGAAUGUAAUUGAGAAAAGCACAUAAGGAACACAAGUGGUGUCAGCCUGAGCAUAAUGAAUAUGUAAUAAAUCAUACAGGAGAAUUCUUUUUUAUUAUGUUUCAAAAGAAGUCUGUGCUCUUAUUUGCAAGCAGCUCCAGUCCUGGUAAUGGAUGUGAUCCCCUGCAUGCAGGCUUUAUUGGAGAAGAUGUUGCAUUGACUCCACUGAAGUUAUGCUCGCAGAAAAUGUGGUUCCCUGAAAAUUAGCUGUUCCCCAAAAGCUAAAGCAUUUGCUGUGUCUAAGUAUAUAUUUUCAUAUAAGAGUAGCAGGCCACCCCACUAUUAAAAGUGUUUAAGACAGCCUCAGCUUUGCAGUGAGCAUCCAGCUAGAGCAAAACAGGCAGCCAGCCCAGUGGAGCACUGGGAGAAAAAUGGCAAGGACACAGCAUCAAAGGGCAGCACUGCCCAAAAACCAUACCAGAAGGAAGUGCAGUCCAUUCCUGCCAUCCAUGAGGGUGAGACCUCAGAUAUUUUGCAGAGCUUGCUCACAGGAAAUGGUCCAGCUGAAAAAAGCAGGGGAAUGUCUAGUAGCAGCUUCUUACCCUGAAAACACAUCUGCAGCUAAUUGGCAUGGCACAUUUUUAAAAGCACCAAAGCAGGGCUUAGGAGCUUUACCCGUCCCCAAACAAGUGUAAACUUAUAAGCAUUAAAUCACUUUAAAAAUUCCCUCUGGGAAUUAAAAGUCACUUUUGUGACUCAUAACAUGAGGCUGCUGUUUCUGAACUUUUUUAAUGGCAACUCCAGGAUAAGGGAGAGCAGAGGGAGACAAGCCUUUCCUUGCAUGGGAGGGUUCUUGUCCACUAUGGGGAGUUCCCUCACCAGGAGAUGAUUCUGCCCUGACCAGCUAAUCCUGGGGAUCCAAUGGCUCCUGGAAACAGCCCCAGCCCAGCAGGAGACAGCUGUAGAUGGCAGGCAGCUAAUCUGAAGCAGU